CGACAGAAAUGACCAUGAAGGCUCAACAGAUGACCACAUCAAUGUCAACCACAACACCGGCGUUAGGAAAACGUCGGUGGUGUGGAGGUAUUUUGGUUUUUGGAGGUCGGACAUGAAGCAGAGUAAUGUGGACUGUAAAUUAUGUCGAGUAUAUGUUCUCACAAAGUCGGGGAAUACCUCAAAUCUUUUUCACCACCUGAAGCAGCGCCACGCCGCAGAGCACGCGCAACGCAGAAGGUUACAAACCCCGAGAGGAGCGAGGAGCCCAUGGCGCCUGAAACAGACGACCAUUCAGUCGGCUUUCUCUAGAGCGACGCCUUACGACAAAACGCCAAAGAGACACAAAGACCUCACAGAUGCAGGAGAUUAUUGUGUUGGAAAAGAAAUGAGACCAAUAAACACUUCUACAUUUCAUUUUUAUAUCCUGAUAUUGAUCGAUAUCAGCUGAUAUGAAAACAAUAUAUAGUGAUAAACUUUUUCCCAUAUCGCCCAGCCCUAAGUCAGAGCUUACACUGCCCCCCAUCAUCUAAAUAACAUAUUACAUAUAAAGUGUUUACUGUUGCUAACUCUUCCCAUUCACAUGCAUCCAAACCUGCGAGCUGCUUUUCCAGGUUUCAUACCCGAGACUUCACCCCCAACUCUGACACCCACAGACCUGCAGCCGCCCCAAAUAUCUCUCUAUAUUAUAUAUGACUGCAGACUUGCUGAUUGUGCCCAUACAAAGCUGAAAUGAAACCUCCCUGCCUCACAAACCAUUUCUGCCGCCAACUGCUCUCAGUGUGACUUCAGGAUGCCUCCGACAAAGCAGUGAACUAUGUCAGAUGAUAAUGCCUCUCCUGGUAUCUACCUGCUGCUGCCAGGCUCAUGAACAUAAGUGGGGGAAAUGUAAGGUCUGCUGUCAAACUGUGUAAAAGAGAAAGAGAGCACUUGACAAAAAGGCCUUCACACACUGAGAGGUGCACGGUUCCCUAUAUCUGUGUACUUUUAUUGGGAAAGUGUUGGAGCAUAAGCCGUCCAGCUGCUGCACAAACAACUGCUCCAAGAUUGGAGAGAGAGGGAAACGUUUGGACGAGUUAUGUAACGGUCUGUGGUAAAGAAAUGUGAUAGAAGGAUAUAAAGCCAGUCCUCCACAAGCCAACCACAACAACUCCAGGCUUCAGAACACACAAUACCUACACUGUCAGUAAAGGAAAACUACAACUGCGUCACAUCAGACAGCAGCUACACCCAACCAUAGCACUUUAACAGGUGAAGCCGACAGCACUGUUGGUGAGAAACAAAGAAAAUGAGUGCUACCCCCGACAGAAAUGACCAUGAAGGAUCACCAGAUGACCACAUCAAUGUCAACGACAACACUGGCGUUAGGAAAACGUCGGUGGUGUGGAGGUAUUUUGCAGAGUAGCAGAGUAAUGUGGACUGUAAAUUAUGUCGAGUACAUGUUCUCACAAAGUUGGGGAAUACCUCAAAUCUUUUUGAGGAGCCCAUGGUGCCUGUGCAGCCGAAACAGUCGACCAUUCAGUCCACUUUCUCUAGAGCAACGCCUUAUGACAAAAUGCCACAGAGUCACAAAGACCUCACAGAUGCUGUAGCUCAUUCUAUUGCAAAAGAUGUGCUACCAAUAAACACUGUUAAAUUUCAUUUUUUAUAUCGUGAUAUAAAAAAUCGAUAUCGACUGAUAUGAAUAAAAUACCCUAACUCUGAGUGAUAGUCGUAAUAUUGUGAAGAUUUGUGAGUCUCUUCUAAAAACUGUACAUGUUGUUGAUUCCUUGAUGUGUCCAUAGUACUUCAGGUCUAUGUUUAGGCUGCCUCAUGAAAGCCUGGAGAGCACAAUUAAAGAGUCUCACUCCUAAAGAAGUUAGCAGUACUCACCAAAUGGUUGGCGCCAAUGUCGCCAAUGUUAAUUCGCUGGAAGAAACAAUUCUGAGAAAUGCCUCUAGGUUGGCAUCGAGCUCCGACCUCCAGUCCUGAGAAAUGAGACCAAUACUGCAAAAUACUGCAGUUCAUGGAAAGCCUGACUGAGGCGGGAGCAGAAAAAAAAACACUGAGACGAAAAAACAUUUAAAACAAAUUUAGAGCAAAAAUAAACAUUUUUACAGGCUUGUUCAAAAAGUGGAUUUAGCUCAGGGUCAGAUAUAUUAAUUUAUUUAUAAUGUUUUAACCAAAAUAAUGAGGUUUAAUAAUUUCAUUUAAUAUUUUCUGUAAAGGUCUAAGUAAACUUUUUUAUAAUUAUCUGUUAACUUUGUUAAUGAUGAUUUUACUAUUGUUCUCUGUUUGCUGCUGUAACUCUGCAGAUUUCCCAGCCAUGGGGGAUUUUUAUUAACAAUAUUUUUGUUAUAAUAUCUUUUUUUAUGGUUUGAUUAAGUAUGAAUUUAAACCGACAAACUGGAGGAUAUGAUGAGGUCAAGGUUUUGAGGAUGCGUUCAGACGCCUCGGGUGUAAAGGUCACUUUCACACUCAGUCAGACACUUCGGUGACCCAGCCGUUCCCCUGACCUCCUUCCUAAGAACUUCUGCAGUCACGCUACGUCUGCCUUUGCUUAUGGGUGACAGCCAUUCUUAGCCAGGGCUUGUCAUGAGAAUUUAAAAAUAGACUACAUUAAACGCAAGUGAGUGAACAAAGGACGGAGGCUGCUGAGACGUGGACCGCACUGUGUAACAGCGAGUUCCUAAAUAAUAUAACAGCAGAAGGAAUAAGGAUAAUAAUAAUAACGAUGAUGAUGAUGAUUUAACGAGGUGAAGGAAGUUUGACACGAGUUACAUCACUGAGAAUAUUUUCAUAUAAACUGAAUUUAUGACGGCACAUGUACAAGAGUCACAAACUCAAUCAGCUCCAGUCAUCUCAUCCUAACUGAUAAUAUAUUCUGACUUAUAAUAAAAUCUGUUUAUUUCUGACCCUCAUAGAUAUAUAUAUAUAUAUUCAUAUAAAGAUACUGUAUAUCCACAGCAGGGACAGACUGAGAGCCUCAUCAGUACCAGCUCACAGGCUCAGAUCAGGGCCUUUCAUAGAGAGCUUUAGCUUCAGUUCAGAGGGUCUCUUUCUCUUUAUUUCCAGUGAUAGGCCAUCGUUCUUAUGUAACACCCCUGUGACAUUUUCACACUCCAUAGAAACGUCUUUAAAUAAAGCUCUGAAAUAGACUCUUAAGGCGCUGCGGCCCUUAAGAGAAGCUGUGUCGAUAAUAUCAACUGUAAUUGCCGGUGGACUCCGAUUUCUCCAACAUCUGUCUACGCCUGAAUUCCCUCAUGGCCAACAUUAUUGAUCACGCUCCCUGUCACUGCAUCACAUUACCAUCUGUCUAUACAUUUACCAUCAGGCUUUGUGCGCUAAGGUCAAUGCAAACGUGAGGGAAUAAAACUCCACCGUUUCAUCGGCGUUUGUUUGAAACAGGAGAAUAAAGAGGCAAUUUAUCAUCCGAUGAUACAUCUGUUAUCGUGGUUUAAUACAUUCAUAACUGCAGAGAGACUGUAUGUGCAAGGUAGGUAGGACUGCAUGAUAGUGGAAAAAGAGAGUAGAGGAAGAGCAAAUUGGUUUAUAUUGUAUAAGUUCAUUUCUGAGGUUGAAACUGAUUUUAAGACUUUAAAAGUAGAGACACUACGGAAUUGUUAGAUUUCACAAAAAAGUCGGUUUGUCCAUCCAAUCAGGUGAUUCCAGAUAGAUGCAUAAAUCCUGGACUGAGAGGAAGUGGUGACCGCGAGAUGUGACCGUCAUUUGUGGUGUGACGUGACCAUCGUGCACGCAUAUGUCGUAACUGCCUCACAAGCUAGCAAGCUUCUUCGUCUGCUUGGUCAUCUUUCCAGCAUUUCAAAGCGGGUGGUAAAAAGCGUCAAGAACCACAACCAUCCACCAGUAUGAUCCAGAAAGUUUGAUGUUGUCAGUAUUUCUUAUUCUUUCAGACAGUUAUGAUGGAUGCGGGUCGAGUACGGCGGCCUCAACACGCUCAGGUACAUCUGUAAUUAUUGUGCGUAUUUCCACACGGAUGUAAAUGUUGACCUCUCCUCAGGACACGGUAACGAAUCAGGACGCGCUAUAUAUCGCAGAUAAAACCACACACUCGCUCUACUGCACCCACAUCUGAAAAAAGGAGGAAACUUAAGACCGGUCUGGAUCUGUCUGAGCAGGGAAAAGUCGGUCGAACACGUUGAGAUUGUUUCCUAGAUGUGCUCAGAGGCACUCAAAGAAAGGACAAAAACGACUAAAAGCAGCACUCCUGCCUCCUCUCUGCAGCCCUCCUCUCCCCCGUGCCUCUUCCCUCGCCACGUUCAUCCUCCCCCUGCUGUCAGGAUGAGUGUCGGGCUCUCUGCUCUCCCAGAUGUUCGCUGGCAGGAGGAGGCUGAAUGUCUGUCAUCAGUCAGGACAAGUGACAGCCACGUCGGCGGCCUGUCACAGCUGCCGUUGCUCAGGUCACUGAAGGUGUCGCCAUCAAGCAAUGAUGCCGAGGCGAACGUCGCAGCAACCUCGCAGACAAUAAAAGGGGGACAAGAGGAGGUUCUGGUUUUUACAGUGAACCAGGAGGGAGGACUGGGACUGCAUAGACUUCUCACUUUAGGACCCAGAAGACCUUUUUCUAGGGUCAGACUCAAUGUAACUGAACACAAAUUAUCAAAUCAGACGUGUUUUCGUGAGUUAAACCACGCGUGGACAACUCUGAGGCAACUUCCACAGCAUACAGCAGCUUCAAGUCAUCCUCAAUGCCAUCCAUGCACAUCUAUAACAUCUAUUUCUGUGUUUCCCCUUAAAAUAAGUCCAAACUCAUGUGGACAGCACCUCACACACACACACACACACACAGAUCUGCCGUACAGUAAACCACCAAACCUGAGGGUCCGGUCCUGCAGGGCUUUGAGGAAGCCGUUCUCCCAAACAGGGUUACAUCAUCAUCAUCAUCAUCAUCAGGAGGAGGAAAAUGUCAUGACCCAAAUUUGACUGCAAAUGAAUCAUGAACGAUUUAGCAGAGAGGAUCUGAAGAUCGUGUGCAUCUUCAAAUGUUCUCGGCGUAUCCCACAGUGACCUCCCCGUAAACCCAGAGACACACUUCCUGUUUUUUUCUUUGUUUUCGACUUGAAUAAAGUCAGUCAGCGGCAAUAACUGCAAAAACACAAACAAGCAGUGUGAUGUAAAAAAUACAGAAUGAGCAGUCAGACGAGAGACUGAAGAAAAUCUGCUCUAGUUAAAGCUUUUUUAUUAUUACUCCAGCUGUGUUAGAUACUUGAUUCUGAUUGGUCAAAAUCCAACAACUCUGGUUAUUGAUUGUCAGUAGUGUUGGGCGGUAUGACAGUAUUUACAGCCACAUAGACAUAUAAGCAGUAGAUUGUGUCCUUCCAGAGGAGGAAAUCUACUUCUAGACUUCUAGAAUCAGCAUCUCCUCAUCCAUGGUGUCAUCGGGGUGAAAUGACGUCUAAAAACCUUUCACUUGUUCGUCUCCGCCCGUUUGCAUGGUGUGAAAUACGAUCCUCCUGAAACACGGAGUGUUUUAUUUUGAAAAGAAGCCGGAUGUUUUAUUUUGUGUCUGUGCCCGACUUCCUUUCCAGCACGGGUUAAUCUGUGCUGAAUUUAUCCGCCAUGCUCCGGCGUCCUGAAAAAAUAGAACUCUUGUGAUCCGCAGAGGAACGGAAAGAAGUCGGUGUAAAUUGACACGUUAACUUGAAUGUUUACGAUCAGCUACGAUCGGAGGAUACGACCUUUUAGGAGACAUUCUGGAUGCGAAAUUGGGGGUUAGCGUCCAGUUGUUCUCUUGAGUCCAUACCAGUUCACCUCAGUUUCAUCAAAGUUCAUAAAAACAGAUGAAUUGAAUAUUAAAUACCGAGUUUGUCGGUCAGGGUCAGGUCUGCAGGAUCACAGGAUCAAACCCACUCUCUCCUAAACCCACACUGUUGCUCUGUCAGGACGCCGGGAUCAUGAUUGUGGUUCUGAAAAGUUGACAUGACUUUCUGUAUUUGUCUGAGAACAGGCAGCUGCACUCUGAAUGUCGACACUUCCUCCACAAAUACGAUGAUACAGUAGCGUGGAUUUGCGGCGUAUAAUAGCACAGUGGGGGCGUUGAAAUAUGAAAUUGCUUGCUCUAAUUGCUGCCACUUUGGAACUUAAGCUGAGCAAAAGCAAUUUUUACUGAGAGAUUUAUGUCGAGGAGGAUCCACUACAACAGAGAGAAGUGACCGGACGAGCUGCAGCAGCUCAUUCCAGAGGAGCUCAGAUGAUGACAUGACUCAGAGUCUCUGGAAACUCAAGCAGCAUCUUACUGUCAUGGAGGUGGAUGAGAGAGAACAGUAACAGGGGAUUUCAGGACGGCAUCAUCAUCUUUGCAUUGAGGAAUAAUGUGACGAAGAGGAAGUUCAGCAGAGUAGAAAUAAAGGAAAGGAAGAAUUAAUCUCCUGUACUCUGGUCCUGUUCCUGAAAAGUAAACUUUUGGACCCCGCUUCACCGUCUUUGUUCAGAUAUUAUUUUAUCUACAGUCUAAAAAAGGAAAUAUAACGAGGUCUUCGCCUUGCUCCGGGUUGCAGAGGCUGCAGAUAAAAACUCUGGCGGUUCCUCCUUGUUGUGUUUAUUUUUGCUCCCUGCGGACUGAGCACAGGCAUGUCCAAAGGUGUGUUUGUAUUCCCUGAAGACAAUAAAAGGAGAACUGUACGGAUCACUGCACCAAGGUUGUGGUUAGGAGUCAAAGGCAAGUGAACAAGGUCAACUCUGACUUUCUUUGACUUCUUACUGCUGCCUGAAAAUCCCAACACUCUCCAGGGCCGAGAAAGAAAACGACUUUAGGAGGUUCGAUUUGGACUGAGAUCUGAUGUUACGUCUAAAUGACAAGAAAUCCUAAAAUUGAUCUUAUAUAACACAACACACUUUCCUGUAGGAAGUAACCGGCCUUUACAGAUCUGUGCUUUGUAACAUUAGCAUGAAGAGAAGUGGAGCUGCACCUCUGAACGCACCGCUAAAUUCUGCGCUGUUCCUCACACAGACUAUAUCUGCAAAAACGCACCUGAAGGACGCAUUUACGUUAAAGCUGUCCAAACAUGAACAGAACCAACCUAAAACUAACUUCACUGCGUAUUUACAGGAAAAUAUAUCCAACCUAAAACUAACUUCACCGCCGUGUUUACAGGAAAAUAUAUCCAACCUGAAACUAACUUCACCGCCGUAUUUACAGGAAAAUAUAUCCAACCUAAAACUAACUUCACUGCGUAUUUACAGGAAAAUAUAUCCAACCUAAAACUAACUUCACCGCCGUAUUUACAGGAAAAUAUAUCCAACCUAAAACUAACUUCACCGCCGUAUUUACAGGAAAAUAUAUCCAACCUAAAACUAACUUCACCGCCGUAUUUACAGGAAAAUAUAUCCAACCUGAAACUAACUUCACCGCUGUAUUUACAGGAAAAUAUAUCCAACCUAAAACUAACUUCACCGCCGUAUUUACAGGAAAAUAUAUCCAACCUAAAACUAACUUCACCGCCGUAUUUACAGGAAAAUAUAUCCAACCUGAAACUAACUUCACCGCCGUAUUUACAGGAAAAUAUAUCCAACCUAAAACUAACUUCACCGCUGUAUUUACAGGAAAAUAUAUCCAACCUGAAACUAACUUCACCGCUGUAUUUACAGGAAAAAAAACAUUUGUUGAUUUUUUUUUAUGCGCACAUGUGACCCUAAAUACAUUUUACAAUUCACACACAUCUAUUUUUAGUCUUAAAUGCAAGUGAAACGGUCACACUGUCGAGCCCUGGAAACUGUUUCGUGCUCAACAAUCGCUCUUUUGUCGUCACUCAGUUACUCACAAAAUACAAAAAUAUGUACUUUACUGAGUGAGAAUAACAAGGACAGUCUGAAUUAAAGAUGCAAAUGACAGAUUUGUUCACACUGUACUUAUCAAGGUACCAUCAUAAUAAAAAACAGACAUUAAUUUUGAAAUAUGUGUUACUAAUGUGGUUAUUAUUGAAGCUUGAAUGAAUCAGACAUGAACAAUAAUUAAGGCCGAUAAAGUCAAACAUGAACAUUAAUCGUUGAUGUAAACAGGUUUGAUCGUAGUGAGAUGAUUUUUGAUUAUAUCGCCCAGCUCUAAGUGACUGUAGGUCAUAUCUCCGUUGGUUUUAAUCUUAUUUUAAUUUUUUUUAAAUUUAACAUAUUGUAUAAUGUUCUGUAUUGUGUUUUAUCUAUACUGUAAGGUGACCUUGAGUGUCUUGAAAGGCGCCACAACAAAUAAAAUGUAUUAUUAUUAUUAUUAUGACCAGAAUGGCACAAUUAUGGACUAGAAAUUAGAUAAUUUACAUAUAUUUUAGACUGAGUGUAAAACCGUCAGUCUGGUGAGUCUGGUCCACAGAUUGUUCUCUUGUCUCUGUAACUGAAACAUCUCUGAUUGAACAGGGAUGAAAUUAACUCAAAGUACUGGAUGACAAUAAAUGAGUGGAUGUUAUAUAACCAGCGCUGUUAUAUAAUACAUGAUCUUUAAAAAUAGUUGGUACUACUUUCAAAUCAUGGGCCGCCCACCUGCUCAGAGUUAAAGAGAGAUUUAUGAUUAAAGUCAAACAGAACAAACACAUGCCAACAUGUCAAAGUGCAGUCUAUCCCAAUUACUGCAGAGGAUGGAGUCUGACUCCGGAGCUGAGACAGUUUAUUAAAAAGUACAGGACAAACAAACCCAACCUGAGUGGGCACCAAAGAAAAGAGAGCAGAGAGGGAGAGCUUUGAGAGUCGACCACAGAGUGAACUCUGCUACAAAUGAGGAACUAUUGUGUGCUUUUUUCCACAAUGUGUUCAUGAAUUUCCACAAUGCUUUUUUUAUUGCUGCUCUAGGGUUCACUGGCUCAUGAAACUUUCUAAGCACACAAAAGACCGAAGAACCUUUCAAUCCCAGAAAGAAAGAAAGACAGAGGGGGUAAAAAUCAGCGCUGAAAUGUUUUCCCAAGACGACAGGAGAAAGCAAAUGAGAGAUCUGAAAGCUAAGCCAGCGGUGUCAACACUAAAAACUGUCCAUACUAAUGACUUCCCACAGGGAGUCUCCACUUUAUUCCUUCUCCGUUGUCAGCACAGUCACCCAUUCAACUGCAGGAGAGCCGUCUCACUUCCACUCCCGAGGAACGCUCGGCAUCGCAUUUCCAUCCUGAUUUGCAGCCGAUGUAUAAACCCGUCCUUGUCUUCUAUUUAAAUGUAAAACAUGGAGCUAUUCAGAGCAUGCAUGGAGCUGCUGCAGAGACACUAAUCAGGAACAAUGUACCUGCGGGGGAGCGCUGACACCCUGUUUAAAACAAUCCGAUUAUAUUGAUGUGUUUAUUUAUCCAAUGUGCUCAGGGUCAUCAUCGCUCAUGCUUGUCAUCCUGCACCUCCAGCGCGCUCCGUCUUCACUCCAAUCUUCUCCUCUUUUGUUUAGGACCACACCUUCUCCGUUUGUUAGCAGCCUGUUCAUCUCCCUCACUGUCCCGGCCUUCAUCGCUCAUGCACUCCUUCUCUUCUCGCUGACGUCCCUCCUCGUCUUCGCCCACCCCUCCUUUCCGUUCAGAUCACUCGGCUCCAUAUCAGCCUCCUCCUCCUCCCUUUGGAUCACCUCCUUCUUUCCUCUCCUCUCUUCCUCUCCAUCAUUUCAUCCUCCCUUUCCCUGAGACGUGCUGAUGGUGGGCUCUGCACCCCCCACCCCCCCUCUGUCAAACUUGUGAUAAACGUCUUCUCCUCCCACUGAUACACGGCUAAUACCUCCAAAAAGUCAAAUACAUCACGUUAACCAUCAUGGCGAGUGUGUGUGUGUGUGUGUGUGUGUGUGUGUGAAGGACUGAUGUCAGGUAGAGUCUGCUGUCUCAGCAGACUGACAUCUGGGUAAUGAAGUCCUGAUGAUCCUUCUGGAGUGAGUGUCGCUCUGCUGAGAAUAGAUGCACGCCGCCAUAACUUAACGCAGCGAUUCCAGCGAGCAGCGGUGGCGGCGGGCGGACUGAUGGCCCCCAGGCUUGUUGAGACUGUAACUGCCACUUCUGGUUAACGACGAAUCAGAGACGGGACUCAGACGCUGGUUAACCCACUUUCUAACUCCACACACUGCCUGGAUGAUCAUAUCAUCGCUGAGUAAUGUGUGACGGCAGAAACGACCAUGAUCUGUUUCAUGACGACACGUUAACGCCAACGACGCAGACUUCAACGCUCAGCUGGAUCAGUGACCAACAGCUCUUAUGAGCGGACUAACCCCCAAUUUCCACCUUCAUCCUGAUCGUCUCCUAAAAGGUCGUAUCCUCCGAUCGUAGCUGAUCGUAACCAUUCAAGUUAACGUGUCAAUUUACACCGACUUCUUUCCGUUCCUCUGCGGAUCGCCGGACUCCUCAGCUGAUCACAAGAGUUCUAGUUUUUCUGGACGCCGGAGCAUGGCGGAUAAAUUCAGCACAGAUUAACCCGUGCUGGGGUUUGUUUCUCCAGAUGUAACAAAGAGUGUUGAUGGGAACAAAUACUGGUUUCCAGUUUGCUUGUUGUUCUUGUUCUGGACGUCUUCUUCUCCAUCAUCAUUUAACUCCUCCCACUUUCCUUAACGCUGUCUUGUGUGAAACGGCGUGUGCGGCCCCUCUUUGGUGUCAUGUUGGAAAUUGCUUGGGUUUUUCCUCCGCGACAAUCAAUUUGGCUGUUUUUCACCAUUUCUGACGGACUAAAUCAAUGUGACAGGAGCACUCGCUCUCGCUUAGGUGGAAGAUUUUACACUGUCAGAGGAGGAUUUUUCUGCUCUCCUAGCAAACAAAAGAAAAGUGUCUGCCGACGAGGGCAGAGCGGGCGCAUGAAGUGUUAGAAAUCAGACAGCGGGGGACACCCAGGAUGACAGGAAGGACAGGAUUUAAGGAGAGGAGGAGUGCAGGUGGGAAUAAAGUGCUGUACAGAAGUGAACAUGAUGUGAUGAGAUCAUAAACUGUAGAAAUGUAAAUCGGACUCUCCUGAGGUUGAGACUUUCAGGCCCUGAGCGUUAAAAUGAAGGUCUGAUUGACAUGCUUCUGGUGUAACAGAGUGGAGGAUUAUGUUUUCACACCAACUCUGAGUAAACCUGGAAGGUUGAACUGAGAGUUAGUGUUGCAGGAAAACACAACACACACACACACACACACACACACACACACACACACACACACAGGAGUCACAAGUCUGUCUAGUGUUAUGAACGUUCAGAUCCAACACCUCACUCGUCCUGACUGCUCCGCCUCCCUGUGCCUGAAACGCUGAGCCCGGUCACGUCAGAGGCUAAAGUUACUGUUACCACGGUUACCAGGUCUUCACCAACUUCACCGUCCACCUUUUACUCCUGCACAUGCAGGGCGCUCUCUGCUCUUCGGUCAAAAAUCGAUGAUGUGAUGAAAACAGAGGAAGUAGGAAGUAAGAGGAUCAUGAUGGACUUUAUUUAUUUAAUGUUCAGAUGGAUCAGAGGAGACUCGGGGUCGACUGAACGUUCAUGGAAGUCCAGCUGCUGUUCAACCAUCCUCACUCUCCAUCAUAUACUUUAUUUUUGUAUCCAUCACAGGGCUUGACACUAACUAAGGAGUACUAUUAUUACUAUUAUUAGAAAUCAAUUUUAGGUCUUUUGGUCACAUGACAUGGAAGCUAUUGUGAGAACAGCCUUUUCUGAGAACAUCAACCGGUAAUUUAUUGACGGUCCCUUAUUCAACACCCGACGUUGACAGUGAGGGUGUCGAGUAGAUUUAACCGCGCUGCUGUUGUUAUUCCCGGUUAUGGAGAGUGAGAAGACAGCGGUAGAUCCUCAGAGAAUGUCCGUCAGAUAUCCAACCUGAAACUAACUUCACCGCUGUAUUUACAGGAAAAUAUAUCCAACCUAAAACUAACUUCACCGCCGUAUUUACAGGAAAAUAUAUCCAACCUAAAACUAACUUCACCGCCGUAUUUACAGGAAAAUAUAUCCAACCUAAAACUAACUUCACCGCCGUAUUUACAGGAAAAUAUAUCCAACCUAAAACUAACUUCACCGCCGUAUUUACAGGAAAAUAUAUCCAACCUAAAACUAACUUCACCGCCGUAUUUACAGGAAAAUAUAUCCAACCUAAAACUAACUUCACCGCCGUAUAUACAGGAAAACAUAUCCAACCUAAAACUAACUUCACAGCCGUAUUUACAUCUAUUUUUAGUCGCACUGUCGAGCCCCGCCAUCACACAUUUUGAAUUUGUCAUCUUUUUCUGCGUAUUCUAUGAUAAAAACACAAAAUCCCAGAGUUUAACCUAAUGCCUGUUUAUAUAAAAUCAUGUGAUCUUUUUAUUUUGGGGUACUAACCACAUUCACUUUUACUUUAGCAUUAGUUUCUUAAAGCUGGAACUGGACCGUCCUCCCGCCCCAGUAAACCAGAAUACCGCCCCCUUUAAACGCUCUCCAUAUAGACAAAUUUAAGUUUAAUGCUAACUGAUAGUACUGUGGAUUUCUUUCCUGUAAGAGUUUUUUCUGUGUGAAAAUAAAAAGCAAUAUUUUCCAGUCAAUCUAUUUCUGCACAUAUCCAGACUGUAUGGACCCCAUGAAUAAUUCAUAGUGGGGCUCUUUAGUCCCAUGCACCAUUUACUGCAUGCUUCAUUACGACUGUGGGCUCAGCUGGUGCCGAGCCCCUUCUUUAAUAUUAGCCGGAGCACUAGUUGACAUUCAUGUGAGCCUCCGCUAAAGCAGGGGCACGAGGCUUUAAAUCACUGUCAGGGCUCCACACAGAGCUGCACACAUAACUUCUGACUCCACUCUGUUGGUUAGGAGCAACAGCAGAUGAUCUGGACUUAAGCUAGACAAAUAACUGCCCUCCACUUCCUCCCCCCCUCACCCUCCUCACCCUCCUCCCAGUCUGCUCCGGGCUGCUUUAGUCAAUAUCCGGUCCUGCUUUUCCUACUUCUCAUUCCUGGCCUCUCCCUGCUCAGCCCUUAUCUCUCUUCACUCUUUAUUGCCCUCUUCAUCUGAGGGCUGUUGUUUAGAUUGACAUCUGCCACGACGGCUGAUAAAGACCAAACCGUCCCUCUCACGACCAUCAAAAUCCAAUUCUUGGGUAAAGACGGGAUCAUGCUGUGACGAUACUUCCUCGAACUCAUCAGGCUGCAGAUUACUGCAACAAAAAAAGAGCAGAAUUCAUGAUGAUCUGGACAAAGAGCUGACCUCCCCACCAAAUGGACCACUGCUGUCGAUCAGCUGCUGUCCUUCAGCCCCGUAUCAGGCUGAAACACACACACACACACACACACACAGUGAAGCACUGGAGCACUAACAUGUCAGCAUAAUGAAAUUAGACAGCCUCGUUUGUGACGCUGCAUUGUCCUUGUUCAUCGGUGGCACCGUUCCCACCACACACGGCCUCCUCACCCUGUCCGGAGCUGAGCGACCAGGAUAUUGCUAAUCGCUCACAAUAGAAGGAUUAGCAAGCAAGGACAAUAGGGAUCUAAAUGUCAGAGGCCAGCACCUGCCCUAAGCCCUCUCUGUCGGACAACAGUUAAUGGGCAGCAGGCGGCGGGCAAAUUGUGAAGCGCCGCUCGAAAGAGGAGGCGGGGAGAGGAGGCCUCCGGAGAAAACUGAUGUACAUACAGCUGAAGACAUUUAAAUUUACGACACAUGUCCACAGAUUAAUGUUGGAUAAUAAUCUGAAAAUAUGACAUUUAUAUACUCAGGGAUAGUGAGCACCGCCCACAUUUAAUAAAAGGGAAAUGAAUAAAAACUAAAGUUUAAUUCAGAAAUCAGACAUUGGAUUAAUUCUAAAUCAUAAACCUGAAUUCUCAUUUCAUGAAAUUCCACCUCUGAAGAACAUUAAGGUACAUACUAACUAAACAAGAGGGUACUUUGUUUACAUUCACAUUUUAACUAAAUACUUUAUGUACAUUAAUACUUCAUUUACAUUCUAACUAAUAUUUUGUUCACAUUUUAAUUUAACCAGAUGGCACUUUGUUUACAUUUAGAGUUUAACUGAAUACUUUGUUUACAUUAAUACUUUGUUUAUAUUUUAACUUAACCAGAAGGUAGUUUGUUCACAUUUUAACUAUAUACUUUGUUUAGCUUUUUACAUAACCAGAGGGUGCUUUGUUUACAUUUAUACUCUUUUUACAUUUUAACUGUACCAAAGGGUGCUUUGUUUAUAUUUAUACUCUUUUUACAUUUUAACUGUACCAAAGGGUGCUUUGUUUAUAUUUUAGCUUGUUUACAUUGGUAAUUUGUUUACAUUUAACUUAACCAGAGGGUACUUUGUUUACAUUUUAACCUCAUACUUUGUUUACAUUUUAACUUAAUGCUUUGUUUACAUUAAUACUUUGUUUAUAUUUUAACUUACCCAGAGGGUACUUUAUUUACAUUUUAACUUAACAAGAGGGUACUUUGUUUACAUCUUUAGAAAAACAACAACAACCAGAGGUAAUUUGUUUUUUUUUUCAAAGUCCAUCUUUGGGGCGCUUUGUUAACAUUUAAUAGCUCAGAAAAUGCAGCUACAGGUGCUUUAUCCACAUUUAUGCUUUAUGGUAUUUUUCACGUGAUUAUCACUGUAAGGGCACCAGAUGAGCUUUUUUUGGUCCUUCAUCCAGUUUAAAACAUCUAAGAGUGCACUUAUGUGUUAUUGUUCAAACAUGGCCAUGGGGGGGCAAAGGGAGGUUUGCCCUUCUACUCCCUCUCUAAGCACGCCACUGCUGCCCCCCUCAGGCAGAAGGACCAGAUAGUCAACACAGAUGUGAAUGUAAAUGAGAUGCACGAUGAGUCAAAGUGGGAAUGCCGAGUAUUGGUGAGAGGCUGAAUAGCUUCGUAUAUCAUCCAACUAUAAAAGUCAUUUCUCUCUUAAUGUCCAAAUUAAGUCCAAGUGAGAAGCGAGCGAGUGAAAAAUGCCGCCAUUCCAGCAGACUUCAGGACCAGCUGAGUUUCUAUGAAAUUCCUUGAGCGUGUUUUAUGAAGCUCCUUUUUAUACCGAGGUGUUUUCACUUCCUUCAGCCGUCGUACUGCUUCAGCUGCAGCACUUCCAUUAAUUUGUAGCUUAGCCUUCAGCUAAACAAAACACUACCACUGCUGCAAUUUAAUAGGCAAGGCACAGCGCUGUAGAGAGAGCGAAUGAUGUUGAGUGUCACUGGUAUAAAAAUCAUUGUCUCAUAAUAGCUGACUCUCAGGAGAAAGCUGGUAUUCUUUACUGACUGCCUGCCUUCUUCAAAGCAAGGGCAAAGCUGUUUUGAGAAACACUAAACGAAGUGUUUUUUCACGCAGAGCAACCCUACAGCCAAGAACUUUUUCAGAUGCCACACUCGAGCUUUUCUCUCCAUUUCCUCUUGCAUACAUUUCUAUAAACCCACCGAGCGCGGCCUUGGCUUCUGAAGGUAAUUGUCUCACCCUCGCUGCUUCACUUACAGUGCAGAGCAAGCACAGGACUAAUCUUAUCAGUGCAUGCAGCUCUCUACAAGCCAGACACCUUCAAUGCCAGCUCUCACCUCCUGAUCAAUACAGAUCAGUCCUGGGGAAAUAUGGAGAGCUGUUAUCAGCUGAGAGUGAUAAUAAACGUCGACUAUCUCCAGAGUUACACAGGCUGACAGCUCAGGUGGGCUGUGGAGAACUUAGUCAAACUUAUUACUGUUCGUCUUUUAAUGAACUGAGCUGCCACCAAAGGGAAGACAUCGCUGUGUUGUCCCACAUUACUACAAUAAAAGCUCCAGACACAGCAGCUUCCAUACCUAAAAAACAGUCACGGAAACAACAUCCAUCUUCAUGUCAGAAAAAACCAACAGUUCCUUAUUAAAGACCUUCAGCCAGGAAGUCAGUCAGCCUUGUUUUACCUCCUCUGACUGUGAGGACCUUAGUCGUAAAAGUAAUGUUCAGCACAGUAACACAAAGAAAUAAUCCAAAUGUCAGACAGAGCAGCGCUGCUCCCGCUAACCCAACCUCGGUCCACUAACACAGUCUUAUACAUCAACACUGGGCCCACCCACCCACCCAGCUCCCAUGAUGCUUUACAACAACCAGCAAACAGUGGUGGUUCAUUUAUGUCGAUGAUGAUGUUUCAAUUUCUUCAAUUAAAGGGAUAUCCCGGCAUAAAAUUAAUUUAGGGUCAAACCCACCGUAACACAGUUAGACCCCCCCUCCAGAGAUGAAUGUUGCCGACCGCUUGCUUCUCUAGUUAUACCAACUUUAGCAACGACCCCAGGAUAGAAAUACAGAGAGCCACGCCCUCAACCAAAACGCCACUCUAUAGCCACAAAUAAUGCUCAGAACAGCACCUAACUUCAUCAACAGGACAUAUAGGGUCACAGACAUAGUACUAGACACCAAACAUCUUUUUAACUUUGACUCAUUUCUUUAGCAAAGAGACUAAACACAACUCACCUACUCUCUUCCAGCAGCUGCUUGUUUGUAGUGAGACCUCAGGCUAGUCCAUUAUGGACUACAGCGGGGUGACGCAGCUCAAGGAAGAACAUUUAUGAUCAAAAUACAAACCGUGCGUUUCUGUUCCAGCCUGAGCGAGUAACAAAGAUUCGUCUCUUUUUUUACUUCCUUUAGUUUUCUCCUGUUUGACUUCAGGUCAGGCUCAGACUAGUUCUGGUCCCGUUGAGGUGAAAGCAUGCAAAAGAAAACUGACCCAGAAUCACAUCAUGGGUUUGUUAGUCGGACUAUGAUUACAACUCAGUCAGACUGGAAUGUUUUCUCAUUUUUUAAAGUCCAGGUUCAGUCAAAAGGACGCCAUAUAUGGACUCCUAACAUCUCAUAAACGGACUGUGACAAAAACUUUUCUUUCCAACAUGAAGGAUAUUUUAAUUAGUGGGAGGUGAAGUUUAAAAUAUAAUCAGAGACAGUUAUCAUAACCUAACUUUAUGUCACCCUACUAGGGGCGGGUCCUUGGUGUUCUCGCCUGUCAGUCAAGUCAUUUGUGCCUCUGAUUCGAUUACAUUGAAUCAAACUUGGGCUCUCUGAGCUACGCCAACUUGAACAUUUUGCAUACAGCCUCCAGUGGACACUGAGAGAACUGCAGUUUUUAACACUUACCUGAUCAGUCUGACAUCUACCUGACGUCGGAGGUUAGAAACAUUCAAAACUGGACACUGACCAUCUGCUCUGCUUUUGUAGGUUAUGUGGAAACAGCAGCAGCAGCAUUAGUUCCAGCCUGUUUCAUAACCUCCUGAAAACUCCUCACAGGAGCUUUAAACCGUCAUCACGUGCAGAGAUGUGACCCACUUCAGAUCCUGCAGCAGAGCGUCUAAAUAAACACGAUUGUGGUUCAAAAGAACGAGCAGAGAGGUUUGAUGGAGAAUGAUCUUCACAAUCACACGUCAGAGUCCAGUGAUAUCAUUGACAUACAUCGACUUUUAAUUACCCGCAGAGUCUAAGUGAAGCUGACACCUUCAUAAUGAGCUCAUGUGUCCAGGGAGCUCAUUUGACACGGUGAUAAUGUGUCUGCAUAAUAUGAUCGGCUGUCUCAACAGUCACCUGUCAGUCAAUCUCACAGAUUAGCAUCAGAGUCCCCCUCAGGGACCGCUCUGAAGUCGACUUUAAAGCCAUCUAAAAACAUGUCCAUACUGCCGAUGGUAACGUCUGCUGUAUUCAUGAUUCAGACAAAAUCAGAGUUAUUGUUUUUAUGAAACAGGUUUGAGGUUAAAAACGUCUGACAAACCAUUAAGAGAUGAACGAGUGUUCACAUUCAGGAGACAAAAACCCUUAAAGGUGGUGUAGUCAGGAUCUGAUGAAGUUCCAGUUUUCAGGAGAAAUCUUGAAUGUAAACUCUACCCCACCCAACUCGCUCGUAUCGUUCCAAUUAAAUUCAGAUAUAAUGCAGAUAAAUACUUCAGAUCAUUACAAAUGGGGCCCAGUCAAGGUGAAAGUCAAAAGCAUUGGUGCUACUGUAGAUGCCAACAGACUACCAGCAAACACAAUGUUUGCAGGACUUCUACAACGAGGAUAAAGUGACAUAGUCCAGGACCCGAGGGAGGACAGUUUAGCGAUGGCGCUACAACACGCUACAGCAGGUCCGUUUGACAAGAAACACUUCUGUUACAGACACUUGUCUUACUUUGUUAAAGCGGUUUACCUGUCCAGCAGAAAGGUUACAGGGUCACCAAGAUCCCCAAGCGUCCCCCAUGGUUUAUGUUGACCCGGCUUUUUAGCUCUUGUCCGGUCUACCUCCGUUUUAAGCGCCCGUUAUUCCUCCAGAGUCUCCGGUAUUUACUUUGUUUUCUCGCUUGUGUCGGCAGUCGUGGCCAAAGGAGGAUUCAGACAAUUUUCCGAACUUUCUGGUUGGUUUCUACUGUCCGAUAUUGUAGCACGCUAACUUUGUUUGGGCUCCUGAACGACACGGGGGAGCAGCGUCUGCCUCACAACCAAUCAGGUUAGAGGAGGUGGAGAACGGCUUUGUUUACAGUCAGAAAGAGCGGACCGCUCAAAAAUGUUCAAAUGUUGACGACACAGACAUAAGAGAACACAGAGAUAUCGAUAUAUUACCAAAUGUCAUCAAUAACUAAUAACUAUUGACUGAUAUUAGAAGAUUUUUUGUAAAUACACUACAAAAAUAUGCUUCUUAAUGCUUCUUUAACGGAUUCCUGUCUACUCCACCUUUGCGAGGACUCAGGGUUUAAAUAUUCACUGAACAAAUGGAUCACGCUGUGUCGACACUUCCCGAUAUAAGAGAAAACAGAGGAAGCAAAGGAUCAUGGGAAGUGUGAAAACAAAGUAAACACACCAAAACAAAAAUCAACCAUUUCCCCUCUUCUUCUCCUGCAUGAAGAGAGCGUGAUCUAUCAGAGCGCUCAGAGGAAAUCCUGAGUGAUGGGUUACGUAGACCCCCAUCAGUGGAUCCACACGUGUACCCAGGAGCUGCCAGCACUUGUGUGAUAUUAAUGUCAUCUGCCUUUUGUAGUCGGACUUGGAGGUUCAGAUCACGCUUCAGCUUUGCCUCGGUCGUGACUGCAGGGUCUUACGUCUCCGAAAAGACAGAAGAAGAACAAGAAGAAGAAGAAGAGGAGGAGAGGCUUGUUGGGCUUUAGUUCCAGCAGGCACAUGUCAGAUGCACCUCACUUCCUGCUAUAAACCGGGAUGAGUCUGCUGCUCGCCAGAGAGAGAAAAAAAGGUCAUUUGGCAGCGCUCUCGGCAUUUCACAGCAAUAUUUCUUGCGUAUGAAGUGGUAAAUGGGGGCCUUAACUCACAGAUGGCACGUACUCUGGUGAGAGUCAUAAACCGCCUGCUUCCCGUGAGGGAUUUGUUUGUGUCAAGCACCUGAUACACAUCCAGGGUGUCUUUGAUAAAUCCUGACGGUGGCCGGCAAAUUCAAAGUGCUCAUGCAUGACGGCGAGGUCGACGUGUGAGCAAACACGCCAAACAAACAGCACAAGGUCGUUUGUCUCAGAUACCGACCAUAAAGAAUACUCUGAGUACUGCUGUUGACAGGACGCUGCUUUGGUUAUUACUGCAUCUCUGUGUUCGUACUCAAAGUCUGGAGCAGACAGGAAACUGUGUGUCCGUCAGAUUUUAGUCCGACGCCUUCAGCAUGGUCGGCCUCAAGUAUACAAGAAUAUCAAAUAUCAGAGAUCUCUGGAAUCAGCUGGUUUCAGUAACUUCUCUGUUGGUGCCGCAGUGCAAGUGCAGAAAACUGCAGUUCCUUUCGUGUCCACUCGGGGCAGCAAAGGAAUACCCAUUAGAGCUUAUAUUAAAAUGUUCCUUUUUUUUUUUUUUCACAACUGAAUAAAUUGUAGUUCAUUAUUUGAUCUCUCUACAUCCUUUUUUAUAUUUGUUACCUGUAACUAGGGCUGGUCAAAAAAACGAUAAUGUUAUAUAUCCAAAAUUAAUUUCCCUCAAUAUCUGUAUGAAACAUGGUCAAUAUGCUUUUCAAUAGUCGUCAUUCUGACAUGUUUUGGUCGACUAUACGAACAGCCAAUGAAAAGGGGAGUGUCUCCGGGUCUGAACCAAUCAUGUUCUGAAUUAGAACCAAGUAUCAACCAACUGCAGCGUCGUAGCAGACAGCAGCUCCACCCAACCAUAGCACUUUAACAGGUGAAGCCGACAGCACUGUUGGUGAGAAACAAAGAAAAUGAGUGCUACCCCCGACAGAAAUGACCAUGAAGGCUCAACAGAUGACCACAUCAAUGUCAACCACAACACUGGCGUUAGGCAAACGUCGGUGGUGUGGAGGUAUUUUGGUUUUUGGAGGUCGGACAUGAAGCAGAGUAAUGUGGACUGUAAAUUAUGUCGAGUACAUGUUCUCACAAAGUCGGGGAAUACCUCAAAUCUUUUUCACCACCUGAAGCAGCGCCACA